GACGAACGCUGGCGGCGUGCUUAACACAUGCAAGUCGAACGGACAGGCCCUGCUUUUGUGGGGUGCUCGAGUGGCGAACGGGUGAGUAACGCGUGAGUAACCUGCCCUUGACUUUGGGAUAACUUCAGGAAACUGGGGCUAAUACCGGAUAUGAGCUCCUGCUGCAUGGUGGGGGUUGGAAAGUUUCGGCGGUUGGGGAUGGACUCGCGGCUUAUCAGCUUGUUGGUGGGGUAGUGGCUUACCAAGGCUUUGACGGGUAGCCGGCCUGAGAGGGUGACCGGCCACAUUGGGACUGAGAUACGGCCCAGACUCCUACGGGAGGCAGCAGUGGGGAAUAUUGCACAAUGGGCGGAAGCCUGAUGCAGCAACGCCGCGUGCGGGAUGACGGCCUUCGGGUUGUAAACCGCUUUCGCCUGUGACGAAGCGUGAGUGACGGUAAUGGGUAAAGAAGCACCGGCUAACUACGUG
rnacentral:rRNA from 1 species